UACGGGGGGGGCAAGCGUUGUUCGGAAUUACUGGGCGUAAAGGGCUCGUAGGCGGCUUGUCGCGUCGUCCGUGAAAACUUGGGGCUCAACUCCAAGCUUGCGGUCGAUACGGGCAGGCUCGAGUUCGGUAGGGGAGACUGGAAUUCCUGGUGUAGCGGUGAAAUGCGCAGAUAUCAGGAGGAACACCGGUGGCGAAGGCGGGUCCCUGGGCCGAUACUGACGCUGAUGCGCGAAAGCCAGGGGAGCGAACGGG
rnacentral:rRNA from 1 species